AGACUAGCCAAAAAAGCAAAAUAAUGGCUUGCAACAAUCCUGGAUCUGGAAGAGAUUAUGACAAAGAAGUCUGGAAUAAACAAGAAACCUCAGAACCACCAUAACUGUGUCUGCUACAAUGUGUGUUCUUGCAACCAGCUGAUUGAUUCAUUUUAUGAACUCUUGAAUGGUUGAUUAUCAGAACUGAAUUCAGAGCUGCUCCUGUCUGUAGUAACAUCAUUAGAGUGGACUUCAGAAUGAGGGCGUUGCUUGUUUAAAAACUUCACUCCAUGGAGCUCUCAAAUUGGACUGCUUCUGGAAACCAGAUUUGUUCCUUCAAGCAGAGACGCUUGUGGCUUUCCUGACUGGACUUCGAUGGAUUCUUCAUGCCAACCCUAAGGACUGUGGUCUUCUGCAUGAGACACGUCAAUUUCAAACAAGACAUUCGGUGGUGAAACACUUGAUGAAGAUGAUAUUAAAUUGUAUUUGGUAUAACUGAAUCUCAGAGCAAGAAACAAUGAAAAAUAAAAAUAAAAGGUCCAUCAAUAAUGAAUGUCUUGAGCAGUGUUCUUUUUGUGCACAGAUCAAUGGAUCUUUUAAGUUCCAAGCAGGGAUGUAGUCAAUGCUGACCUCGAGGCAACAUUUUGCUGGCCUUGGUCCGAGUCACUGUACAGAAUCUAUGGGAAGUUCUCUCAAGCUGCCUCAUGACUCUGAAGAAUCAGCGUCAACCUCAUCCCUGUAUGCAAGUGUGAUAUAUAUCUGCGAUGCAAUCUCGUGAUUAAAGAGGAGAAACAAGAGAGCUUCAGAUUUUGAAGGGUAGCAAUCUCCUGAAAUGUAUGUUUAAUUUGAAAAUCAAACUAGAAUAACUUAAUUGGGCAUGUUAUUCAUUAUGAUAUGUAUGAUGAAAGCAUUAAAGCAAUUUAGUGCUCUUGCAAAACAAAUUCUGAGUUGUAUUUACUGCAAACCCCCAGAAAUAUUGAUAAGCAUUUGCCAGUGCAUGAAGUGUUUUGAUAAAGAGUGGCUUUUGUGCCUAUGGAGAGUUAUUAUUUCUUCAACAAUUCUUCAUACAAAUUAUUUCAGAAAUCACAAUUUGAAUAUUCCAUGACCUGUGAUAACAAGAGCAGAAUAUUUUUGGUGAUUGACACACUUUAAAUUGAUAUUAUGAAAGAAUGUAGUAAAGUUGUGUGAAAAUAAUGGCAUAAUUGCUGUAGAGACCUACGAAGAUUGAAAAUAACGUCAUUAUUUUAAGUUUUUCUUGAAAAAAACUAUGGAAAAUGGCAUAAUUAACACAAGUUUUCAAAAAAAAUACAAAAAAAAUUGGGGGGCAGAAUUAGUACACAAGCCUAUGGACAAUCAAUUGAACGUAAAUCAAACGCAAAUUUUGCGCGUCCUCCAAAAUCUCACAUAAGUUACGUUCGAUUUGCAAUCAAUCGCAAAGCUUGCGCUUGAUCUACGUUCAAUUGAUCAAACGCAACUUCUUCUUGCAACAGGAUUGAACAUAACUUGCGUUCAAUUGCAGAUUUGCGUUUAAUCGGAGGACUUACGCCCAAUUUUGGGAGUUGCGUUCGAUUUGCGUUCAAUCGCAAGUUUCUUGCAACACCCCAUUAGUCGCGAAAAACCUCUUAGCCAAAUUCUAAGACAAAAUUCUUAGCCAAUUCUUUAUGGAAUACGCGUUUUGGCUAAGAAUUUUGUCUUAGACAGAAAAUAAGACAAAAUGCUUAGAUUUUUGACUUGAGCAUGCUUAUCUCGUUUAUGGAAUACGGGCCAUGGGGCUUGAAACAAGCCUGACCGCACGUACACAGACGACAAUCUAAUGAGAUAUACGGCUGUUACUCUCCUCCGAGGUGAUGCUUACCCGACCGGGAAAGACUCGGGGAAACAAGCUGAAUGUCAACAGGAGGGGUAUUUAGCAUAUAAAUAGCUGAUUCCCUCCAGGUGUUUGGUGCGAGUGCAGACAAGCAGGUUAAUCAUAACCAUAACGCACCGGGCAGUGAAGGCAUAGCGAUUACUAAGUAUAGGAGAACUAUUAAUCGCCGUGACAUUCAGCUCCGAUAAAUGUGCUCAUAAGCUCGGCAGAGCUACGAGAGAGUGCGCCAUACCGCUGAGCGGUAAUGGUGCUAAUAUCGGAGUCGCCCUCUCUACAGCGGCGAUCGCUGGAGAACGGGUGUCUGUACUAGCCCUGACUCUAACCUUAC